CAGUGUUAUAGCUGUUUUAGAAUUUGUCUAGCAGGCUUUCUGAUGUUUGCCAGAAAGCCACC
ensembl:snRNA U7 U7 small nuclear RNA